CUAUUGGAGAGUUUGAUUCUGGCUCAGAACGAACGCUGGCGGCGUGGAUAAGACAUGCAAGUCGAACGCGAUUUUUCCGGUUAGCAAUAACUGGAGAAAUUGAGUGGCGAAUGGGUGCGUAACACGUGGGAAUUUAUCCGGAAGUGGGGGAUAGCUUGCCGAAAGGCAAAUUAAUACCGCAUAUGCCCGUAAGGGCAAAGUGGGGGACCGCAAGGCCUCACGCUAUCGGAGGAGCCCGCGCCCUAUCAGCUAGUUGGUGAGGUAAUGGCUCACCAAGGCUUAGACGGGUAGCUGGUCUGAGAGGACGACCAGCCACACUGGAACUGAGACACGGUCCAGACACCUACGGGUGGCAGCAGUCGAGGAUUUUUCUCAAUGGGGGCAACCCUGAAGGAGCGACGCCGCGUGGAGGAUGAAGGGCUUCGGCUCGUAAACUCCUGUCACCGACGAACAAGGCAUCCGGAUUAAUAAAUCGGAUGCUUGAUGGUAGUCGGAGAGGAAGGGGCGGCUAACUCUGUGCCAGCAGCCGCGGUGAUACAGAGGCCCCAAGCGUUGUUCGGAUUUACUGGGCGUAAAGGGUGUGUAGGGGGUCGGGUAAGUUUGACGUGAAAUCCCGUUGCUCAACAACGGAACUGCGUCGAAUACUGCUCGGCUGGAGGUUCGGAGAUGAGGGCGGAAUUCUCGGUGUAGCGGUGAAAUGCGUAGAUAUCGAGAGGAACGCCGACGGCGAAAGCAGCCCUCAAGACGAAAUCUGACCCUGAAACACGAAGGCCAGGGGAGCAAACGGGAUUAGAUACCCCGGUAGUCCUGGCAGUAAACGGUGCUCAUUAGAUGUAGGCGGAUUCGACCCCGCCUGUGUCGAACCUAACGGAUUAAAUGAGCCGCCUGGGAAGUACGGUCGCAAGAUUAAAACUCAAAGAAAUUGACGGGGGCCCGCACAAGCGGUGGAGUAUGUGGCUUAAUUCGAUGCAACGCGAAGAACCUUACCUGGCCUUGACAUGCUUAGUUCAAGCGUGGAAACACGCUGGCCCGCAAGGGCGAUUUGCACAGGUGCUGCAUGGCUGUCGUCAGCUCGUGUCGUGAGAUGUUGGGUUAAGUCCCGCAACGAGCGCAACCCUCGUGGUUAGUUAUUCCCGGGCAACCGGAAUCUGACCAGACUGCCCUGUGAAACGGGGAGGAAGGUGGGGACGACGUCAAGUCCGUAUGGCCCUUACGGCCAGGGCUGCACACGUACUACAAUGCCCAAUACAGAGGGACGCAAGACCGCAAGGUGGAGCUAAUCCCGUAAAGUUGGGCCCAGUUCGGAUUGGAGGCUGCAACUCGCCUCCAUGAAGUUGGAAUCGCUAGUAAUGGCGCAUCAGCUACGGCGCCGUGAAUACGUUCCCGGGCCUUGUACACACCGCCCGUCACAUCAUGAAAGCCGGUCUUACCCAAAGUCGCCUCCGGGUGCCUAAGGUAAGGCUGGUGAUUGGGAUGAAGUCGUAACAAGGUAGCCGUAGGGGAACCUGCGGCUGGAUUACCUCCUUUCUAAGGAGUA
rnacentral:rRNA from 1 species